rnacentral:rRNA from 1 species
AUUGAACGCUGGCGGCAGGCAUAACACAUGCAAGUCGAACGAGUGGCGGACGGGUGAGUAAUGCAUGGGAAACUGACUGAUGGAGGGGGAUAACUACUGGAAACGGUAGCUAAUACCGCAUACCAUCGGAUGUGCCCAGAUGGGAUUAGCUAGUAGGUGGGGUAACGGCUCACCUAGGAGACGAUCCCUAGCUGGUCUGAGAGGAUGACCAGCCACACUGGAAAUGAGACACGGUCCAUACUCCUACGGGAGGCAGCAGUGGGGAAUAUUGCACAAUGGGCGCAAGCCUGAUGCAGCCAUGCCGCGUGUAUGAAGAAGUCCUUAGGGUUGUAAAGUGCUUUCAGCGGGGAGGCGUUACCCGCAGAAGAAGCACCGGCUAACUCCGUGCCAGCAGCCGCGGUAAUAC